UAGGGAAUCUUCCACAAUGGGCGCAAGCCUGAUGGAGCAACACCGCGUGAGUGAAGAAGGGUUUCGGCUCGUAAAGCUCUGUUGUUAAAGAAGAACCCGUAUGAGAUUAACUGUUCAUACGUUGACGGUAUUUAACCAGAAAGUCACGGCUAACUACGUGCCAGCAGCCGCGGUAAUACGUAGGUGGCAAGCGUUAUCCGGAUUUAUUGGGCGUAAAGAGAGUGCAGGCGGUUUUCUAAGUCUGAUGUGAAAGCCUUCGGCUUAACCGGAGAAGUGCAUCGGAAACUGGAUAACUUGAGUGCAGAAGAGGGUAGUGGAACUCCAUGUGUAGCGGUGGAAUGCGUAGAUAUAUGGAAGAACACCAGUGGCGAAGGCGGCUACCUGGUCUGCAACUGACGCUGAGACUCGAAAGCAUGGGUAGCGAACAGGAUUAGAUACCCUGGUAGUCCAUGCCGUAAACGAUGAGUGCUAGGUGUUGGAGGGUUUCCGCCCUUCAGUGCCGGAGCUAACGCAUUAAGCACUCCGCCUGGGGAGUACGACCGCAAGGUU
rnacentral:rRNA from 1 species